GGGGAACCAGGACUUUUACUGUGAAAAAAUUAGAGUGCUCCAGGCAGGCCUAUGCUCGAAUACAUUAGCAUGGAAUAAUAGAAUAGGACGUGUGGUUCUAUUUUGUUGGUUUCUAGGACCGCCGUAAUGAUUAAUAGGGACAGUCGGGGGCAUCAGUAUUCAAUUGUCAGAGGUGAAAUUCUUGGAUUUAUUGAAGACUAACUACUGCGAAAGCAUUUGCCAAGGAUGUUUUCAUUAAUCAGGAACGAAAGUUAGGGGAUCGAUAACGAACGAGAUACCGUCGUAGUCUUAACCAUAAACUAUGCCGACUAGGGAUCGGACGAGCUCAAAUUUGACUCGUUCGGCACCUUACACGAAAGUAAAGUUUCUGGGUUCUGGGGGGAGUAUGGUCGCAAGGCUGAAACUUAAAGAAAUUGACGGAAGGGCACCACCAGGGGUGGAGCCUGCGGCUUAAUUUGACUCAACACGGGGAAACUCACCAGGUCCAGACACAAGUAGGAUUGACAGAUUGAGAGCUCUUUCUUGAUUUUGUGGGUGGUGGUGCAUGGCCGUUCUUAGUUGGUGGAGUGAUUUGUCUGCUUAAUUGCGAUAACGAACGAGACCU
rnacentral:rRNA from 1 species